rnacentral:rRNA from 1 species
AGUCGAACGGUGGUAGCAAUACCAUAGUGGCGCACGGGUGCGUAACACGUAACUAACCUACCUAUAACUGGGGGAUAGCCCGCCGAAAGGCGGAUUAAUACCGCAUAAGCUACUUGGGUGGCAUCACCUGGAUAGUAAAGAUUUAUUGGUUGUAGAUGGGGUUGCGGGUCAUUAGCUAGUUGGUAAGGUAACGGCUUACCAAGGCGACGAUGACUAGGGGAGCUGAGAGGCUGGUCCCCCACACGGGCACUGAGAUACGGGCCCGACUCCUACGGGAGGCAGCAGUAGGGAAUAUUGGGCAAUGGGCGAGAGCCUGACCCAGCCAUGCCGCGUGCAGGAAGAAGGCUUUCUGAGUCGUAAACUGCUUUUGACAGGGAAGAAUAAGCUUGACGUGUCAAGUGAUAACGGUACCUGCAGAAUAAGCACCGGCUAACUCCGUGCCAGCAGCCGCGGUAAUACGGAGGGUGCGAGCGUUGUCCGGAUUUAUUGGGUUUAAAGGGUGCGUAGGCGGCCCGUUAAGUCCGGGGUGAAAGCCCGCUGCUCAACAGCGGAACUGCCCUGGAUACUGACGGGCUUGAGUACAGACGAGGUUGGCGGAAUGGACCGAGUAGCGGUGAAAUGCAUAGAUACGGUCCAGAACCCCGAUUGCGAAGGCAGCUGACUAGGCUGUUACUGACGCUGAGGCACGAAAGCGUGGGGAGCGAACAGGAUUAGAUACCCUGGUAGUCCACGCCGUAAACGAUGGAUACUCGCUGCGAGCUAAAGAUUGUUCGUGGCUUAGGGAAACCGAUAAGUAUCCCACCUGGGGAGUACGCCGGCAACGGUGAAACUCAAAGGAAUUGAC